GCUGAAGGAAUACACUUCUCCUGGCUGGCAGCUGAGUGGACCUCAAAAUGAGGCGACAGAGCAAGAGAAAGACACCAGGAGUCAUGGAUGUCAUGAUGAUGCUAGAUUCACAGUUACUGGUGAGAGCACAGAAUGCACGAUGACGCAGAAAUGGUCAUUAAAAGCAAGGAUUUUCUGCUAUGAUAUCCCAUGUUCUUUUCCCAUCCAGGCCUAGAACUGUGUCUUGCUGAUGUAGAAGGAGAUUUGAUGACUCUCUCCAUCAUGUUGAAUUCUCCUCACAGUAUGGAUUUUAGGCUGCAACUGAACUCCUGGAUUGAAAUAUUAAGAGACCUUGAAAACCUGCUCAAUAUGUUUGAAAAAUACCAGCAAAUGUGGGCUUUCCUGAGCAAAGUGGUUGGUGAAAAAUUGUCAUGUAAUCAGAGAAAAGAUUGGGUAUGUCUAAAAUAUUACCAAAGAUUUGUUCAUCUUGUCACACAACAAUUUGUAAAUUAACAUUUUGAUUGUGUUUUUUUUUUUAUUUCCUUUUUCUAGCAGCUGCGUUUUUCUUCUAUUGAUGAGAGCUUUCAGAAAAUGAUGAACUCCAUAUGUGCCGACCCACACGUGUUAAACUUUGUUUCUAUAAAGAGAAGUGACACAUUCUUUGGUG
rnacentral:lncRNA from 1 species